UAACACAUGCAAGUCGAGGGGCAGCAUGAAAGUUUGCUUGCAAACUUUUGAUGGCGACCGGCGCACGGGUGAGUAACACGUAUCCAACCUGCCUCAUACUCGGGGAUAGCCUUUCGAAAGAAAGAUUAAUACCCGAUGUCAUAGUCCUACCGCAUGAUGGGAUUAUUAAAGAAUUUCGGUAUGGGAUGGGAUGCGUUCCAUUAGUUAGUUGGCGGGGUAACGGCCCACCAAGACAACGAUGGAUAGGGGUUCUGAGAGGAAGGUCCCCCACAUUUGAACUGAGACACGGUCCAAACUCCUACGGGAGGCAGCAGUGAGGAAUAUUGGUCAAUGGACGAGAGUCUGAACCAGCCAAGUAGCGUGAAGGAUGACUGCCCUAUGGGUUGUAAACUUCUUUUAUAUGGGAAUAAAAUGUUCCACGUGUGGGAUUUUGUAUGUACCAUAUGAAUAAGGAUCGGCUAACUCCGUGCCAGCAGCCGCGGUAAUACGGAGGAUCCGAGCGUUAUCCGGAUUUAUUGGGUUUAAAGGGAGCGUAGGUGGAUUGUUAAGUCAGUUGUGAAAGUUUGCGGCUCAACCGUAAAAUUGCAGUUGAAACUGGCAGUCUUGAGUACAGUAGAGGUGGGCGGAAUUCGUGGUGUAGCGGUGAAAUGCUUAGAUAUCACGAAGAACUCCGAUUGCGAAGGCAGCUCACUGGACUGCAACUGACACUGAGGCUCGAAAGUGUGGGUAUCAAACAGGAUUAGAUACCCUGGUAGUCCACACAGUA
rnacentral:rRNA from 1 species